ACGAGCCGCCUGCUAGAGUUUCCUAGCGCCCUCAGUUCUUUAACUCGUCACGUGCCGAGUUCACGUACACGCUUCCUGUCCGCCACGUUGGUGCGCACUCUGAGACGGGGAUGUGAGGAAGCGAGAAGCGUUCGCGACUUUUAAUCGAGGAUUUAUUUCGGACCCCGCGAUGUUUGGAACGUACAGACGAAGGAGGCGUAUGGUGCAGGAGAUCAAAGAGAAAGUCGGGACAUUUCAGUAACAAUCUGGGACUGCCGUUUGAGCUGUCACAAUCGGGACUGUCCUACGAAAAACAGGACAGUUGGGAGCGUUACCUCUUUCCUGGGGCUGUUGCGCUGCUCCCCAAAUAUCCCUGCAAGCUUCGCUACUGAUGGUACCGGGGGCUCCUCCGCUGAGCCGACUUCCGACGAUUUCCCCUGCCAGUCACAAAUAAAUGUGGG